rnacentral:rRNA from 1 species
UAGAGUUUGAUCAUGGCUCAGAUUGAACGCUGGCGGCAGGCUUAACACAUGCAAGUCGAGCGGAAACGAGAAGUACUUGUACUUUGUCGUCGAGCGGCGGACGGGUGAGUAAUGCUUGGGAAUAUGCCAUAUGGUGGGGGACAACAGUUGGAAACGACUGCUAAUACCGCAUAACGUCUACGGACCAAAGGAGGGGCUCUUCGGACCUUCCGCCAUUUGAUUAACCCAAGUGAGAUUAGCUAGUUGGUAAGGUAAAGGCUUACCAAGGCGGCGAUCUCUAGCUGGUUUGAGAGGAUGAUCAGCCACACUGGGACUGAGACACGGCCCAGACUCCUACGGGAGGCAGCAGUGGGGAAUGUUGCACAAUGGGGGAAACCCUGAUGCAGCCAUGCCGCGUGUGUGAAGAAGGCCUUCGGGUUGUAAAGCACUUUCAGCGAGGAGGAAAGGGAGUAGGUUAAUACCCUGCUUCUGUGACGUUACUCGCAGAAGAAGCACCGGCUAACUUCGUGCCAGCAGCCGCGGUAAUACGAGGGGUGCAAGCGUUAAUCGGAAUUACUGGGCGUAAAGCGUGCGUAGGCGGUUUGUUAAGCAAGAUGUGAAAGCCCCGGGCUCAACCUGGGAACUGCAUUUUGAACUGGCAGGCUAGAGUACUGUAGAGGGGGGUAGAAUUUCA